rnacentral:misc_RNA from 1 species
UCCAUGAGCGGUGCUCAAUCACGGACUGCGCUCGCUUUCGUCUUGUGC